AUUGAACGCUGGCGGAAUGCUUUACACAUGCAAGUCGAACGGCAGCACGGACUUCGGUCUGGUGGCGAGUGGCGAACGGGUGAGUAAUGUAUCGGAACGUGCCCAGUCGUGGGGGAUAACGUAGUGAAAAUUACGCUAAUACCGCAUACGAUCUAUGGAUGAAAGCGGGGGAUCGCAAGACCUCGCGCGAUUGGAGCGGCCGCUAUCGGAUUAGGUAGUUGGUGGGGUAAAGGCCCACCAAGCCAACGAUCUGUAGCUGGUCUGAGAGGACGACCAGCCACACUGGAACUGAGACACGGUCCAGAUUCCUACGGGAGGCAGCAGUGGGGAAUUUUGGACAAUGGGCGAAAGCCUGAUCCAGCCAUUCCGCGUGCAGGAUGACGGCCCUCGGGUUGUAAACUGCUUUUGUACAGAACGAAAAGGUUUCUACUAAUACUAGGAGCUCAUGACGGUACUGUAAGAAUAAGCACCGGCUAACUACGUGCCAGCCGCCGCCGUAA
rnacentral:rRNA from 1 species